rnacentral:rRNA from 1 species
GACGAACGCUGGCGGCGUGCUUAACACAUGCAAGUCGAACGGAAAGGCCCUGCUUUUGUGGGGUGCUCGAGUGGCGAACGGGUGAGUAACACGUGAGUAACCUGCCCUUGACUUUGGGAUAACUUCAGGAAACUGGGGCUAAUACCGGAUAGGAGCUCCUGCUGCAUGGUGGGGGUUGGAAAGUUUCGGCGGUUGGGGAUGGACUCGCGGCUUAUCAGCUUGUUGGUGGGGUAGUGGCUUACCAAGGCUUUGACGGGUAGCCGGCCUGAGAGGGUGACCGGCCACAUUGGGACUGAGAUACGGCCCAGACUCCUACGGGAGGCAGCAGUGGGGAAUAUUGCACAAUGGGCGGAAGCCUGAUGCAGCAACGCCGCGUGCGGGAUGACGGCCUUCGGGUUGUAAACCGCUUUCGCCUGUGACGAAGCGUGAGUGACGGUAAUGGGUAAAGAAGCACCGGCUAACUACGUGCCAGCAGCCGCGGUGAUACGUAGGGUGCGAGCGUUGUCCGGAUUUAUUGGGCGUAAAGGGCUCGUAGGUGGUUGAUCGCGUCGGAAGUGUAAUCUUGGGGCUUAACCCUGAGCGUGCUUUCGAUACGGGUUGACUUGAGGAAGGUAGGGGAGAAUGGAAUUCCUGGUGGAGCGGUGGAAUGCGCAGAUAUCAGGAGGAACACCAGUGGCGAAGGCGGUUCUCUGGGCCUUUCCUGACGCUGAGGAGCGAAAGCGUGGGGAGCGAACAGGCUUAGAUACCCUGGUAGUCCACGCUGUAAACGGUGGGUACUAGGUGUGGGGUCCAUUCCACGGGUUCCGUGCCGUAGCUAACGCUUUAAGUACCCCGCCUGGGGAGUACGGCCGCAAGGCUAAAACUCAAAGGAAUUGACGGGGCCCCGCACAAGCGGCGGAGCAUGCGGAUUAAUUCGAUGCAACGCGUAGAACCUUACCCGGGUUUGACAUGGAUCGGGAGUGCUCAGAGAUGGGUGUGCCUCUUUUGGGGUCGGUUCACAGGUGGUGCAUGGCUGUCGUCAGCUCGUGUCGUGAGAUGUUGGGUUAAGUCCCGCAACGAGCGCAACCCUUGUUCACUGUUGCCAGCACGUUAUGGUGGGGACUCAGUGGAGACCGCCGGGGUCAACUCGGAGGAAGGUGGGGAUGACGUCAAGUCAUCAUGCCCCUUAUGUCCAGGGCUUCACGCAUGCUACAAUGGCUGGUACAGAGAGUGGCGAGCCUGUGAGGGUGAGCGAAUCUCGGAAAGCCGGUCUCAGUUCGGAUUGGGGUCUGCAACUCGACCUCAUGAAGUCGGAGUCGCUAGUAAUCGCAGAUCAGCAACGCUGCGGUGAAUACGUUCCCGGGGCUUGUACACACCGCCCGUCAAGUCAUGAAAGUUGGUAACACCCGAAGCCGGUGGCCUAACCGUUGUGGGGGAGCCGUCGAAGGUGGGACUGGUGAUUAGGACUAAGUCGUAACAAGGUAGCCGUACCGGAAGG